UACGUAGGGGGCAAGCGUUAUCCGGAUUUACUGGGUGUAAAGGGGGCGCAGACGGCGAUGCAAGCCAGGAGUGAAAGCCCGGGGCCCAACCCCGGGACUGCUCUUGGAACUGCGUGGCUGGAGUGCAGGAGGGGCAGGCGGAAUUCCUGGUGUAGCGGUGAAAUGCGUAGAUAUUAGGAGGAACACCAGUGGCGAAGGCGGCCUGCUGGACGAUGACUGACGUUGAGGCUCGAAAGCGUGGGGAGCAAACAGG
rnacentral:rRNA from 1 species